CUGAGGCAGAGCCAAAAUUGAAAAUUUUCAUUGCUGCCUUGGAAGUGAGUAACCGGAGAGUGCAUAAAU
rnacentral:lncRNA from 1 species